UGAUGAGGACAUCCUACACUAUUACCCGUUGGCAAAGACGCAAUUGGCCCAGUUGGCCCAAUUGUAGUCGGACGGCGACCGUGUGAGCCUCAGAAUUAUCCCACCUUGCUUAACUUGGGAGGAGGAAGCCACUUUAAAAGGGAGAGCCACCCUUCCCCCAUUGGGCUAGUCUUUUAGGGUGAUUGGGCCUUUCCCUGAGUUGGGUGUGCUUAAUGAACUGUUGGGCUCCGGGCAACCCUAAUUUGUUGGGCCUCGGCCAACCCCACCUGGGGUGUAUCAUCUGGUAUCAGAGCUAGGGCCCAUUUUAAGAAGGUGGGAAUGAUGAGGACAUCCUCCACUAUUACCCGUUGGCAAAGACGCAAUUGGCCCAGUUGGCCUAAUUGUAGUCGGACGGCGACCGUGUGAGCCUCAGAAUUAUCCCACCUUGCUUAACUUGGGAGGAGGAAGCCACUUUAAAAGGGAGAGCCACCCUUCCCCCAUUGGGCUAGUCUUUUAGGGUGAUUGGGCCUUUCCCUGAGUUGGGUGUGCUUAAUGAACUGUUGGUCUCCGGGCAACCCUAAUUUGUUGGGCCUCGGCCAACCCCACCUGGGGUGUAUCAGAAGAGUCCUUCUGCUCCUGCUCCUGGCGUCGGUGUUCCUGCUCCUCGUCCAGGCGGCGGUGCAGUCUCUCUAGGUGACUCGAAUGUCCUAUCACCGUGCGGCGCAGUGAACGCUCCACAAGGAGAGAGAGAAGGAAAGGGA
rnacentral:lncRNA from 1 species